rnacentral:rRNA from 1 species
AUGGGAAAAUCAACCUUGGCACAAUAUGUUUACAAUGACAAGAGGGUAGAAGAAUAUUUUGAUGUCAGGAUGUGGGUCUGCAUCUCUCGCAAACUUGAUGUCUGUCGUCAUACAGAGGAAAUUUUCGAGUCCGCAACAAAGGGUGAAUGCCCACGUCUUGACAACCUUGACACUCUCCAGGGAAAACUAAUAGAUAAACUGCAAGAAUCAGGGAAAUUCCUGCUUGUUUUGGAUGAUAUUUGGUUUGAUGAUUCCAACAAUCAGAUGGAAUGGGACCAACUGCUAGCUCCUCUAGUUUCUCAGCAGGCUGGAAGCAAAGUUUUGGUAACCUCACGACGGGAUACAUUUUCGUCUGCUCUUUGUUGCAGUGAAGUAGUAUUUCGUUUGGAAAACAUGGAAGAUAGUCAGUUCCUAGCACUGUUCAAAUACCAUGCCUUCUCUGAACCAGAAAUCAGAGAUCCACAGUUGCGUGAAAAACAAGAAGAGGUUGCAGAGAAAAUCAUUAAAAGGCUUGGGAAAUCUCCUUUGGCUGCAAAAGUUGUGGGUUCCCAGUUGAAUGGAAAAACAAAUAUCAGUGCAUGGAAAGAUGCUCUAACUAUACAGAUUGACAACUUAAGUGAGCCCGGGAGAGCUCUGUUGUGGAGUUAUGAGAAGUUAGAUCCACGUAUACAGAGGUGCUUUCUUUAUUGCAGCUUAUUUCCAAAAGGCCACAAGUAUGACAUCGAGGAGUUGGUUCCCUUGUGGGUAGCAGAGGGAUUUGUCAAUUCAUGCAACAUGAGCAAGAGAAUGGAAGAUAUUGGAAGGGAUUACUUCAACGAGAUGGUUUCUGUUUCAUUCUUUCAACCAGUUUGGGAGGGAUAUACCAGAACACCCCAUGUUAUGCAUGAUCUCCUUCAUGAUUUGGCAGAGUCACUCUCGAAACAAGACUGCUUCAGAUUGGAAGAUGAUAAGGUGACGGAAAUACCAUGCACUGUUCGACAUCUCUCUGUUCGUGUUGAGAGUAUGAAACAACAUAAGCAAAGUAUCUGCAGGUUACAUCAUUUACGCACUGUUAUCUGCAUUGACCCAGUAACAGAUGACAUAAAUGAUGUUUUUAAUCAGAUACUGCAGAGACUGAAGAAGUUGCGUGUACUAUAUUUGUCAUUCUACAACAAGAGCAAGUUGCCAGAAUCUAUUGGUGAGCUGAAGCACCUUCGAUAUCUGAACAUCAUUAGAAGUUUGGUUUCUGAGCUGCCGAGGUCAUUAUGUCACCUGCAAUUUCUUCAGUUCAGUGAUAAAGUCCAUAGUUUGCCUGAGGUGCACUGCAACUUAAGUAAUUUACGUCAUCUUGGGAUGUAUGUUGAUAUGAUGGGCUCAAUAUACAAAUCAGAUCAUCUCCCGCAAAUUCCUAACAUAGGCAAGCUAACCUCACUCCAAAACCUUGAGGAUUUUUAUUUGCAGAAGCAGAAGGGAUAUGAGUUGCGACAGCUGGGGAACAUGAACGAGCUUGGUGGCAGUUUAAGUGUAAAAAAUCUUGACAUUGUUACUGGGAGGGAUGAAGCCUUGGAGGCGAAGCUACAUCAGAAAAGUCAUCUCAAAAGCCUGCAUUUUGCCUGGUGUUGCAGGGAUGAUGUUAGUGCAGAGGAUCGUUUACAUUUGGAGGUUUUAGAAGGUCUGAAGCCAUCGCCACAACUAUUGGCCCUUGCAAUCCAAGGUUAUAGAGCAGUGAAAUAUCCAAAUUGUUUGUUUGUGGAUUCGCAUUUUCAGAAUUUGGAAUCCUUUUCGCUUGCUGAUUGCAGUAUGUUGGAAGGCCUGCCAUCUAAUAUCGACCUCUUCAGCAAUUGCUGUUCACUUGUCCUCAAGAAUGUACCAAACCUGAAGAUAUUGCCUUGUCUUCCAGCUAGUAUUAAAAAGUUAAAAAUAAAAAUAUGUCCACUGCUUACCUUUAUUUCCAACUAUGAGCUGGGACAACAUGAUCAAAGUGAGAACAUCAAGAGGACUGACCAUGUGGAAUCAGAACUUGCUUCUGUAUAUGAAGUAUCUCAACCACCAACGAUUUUUUGGAAGGUACUGUCCUCUGAACAUUCAUCAUUUAAGCAGUUGAUCCCAUUGAUUGACACUGGUACAUCGUCACAUCUUCAAACCAUUGGAAAUGCUCUUGGAAGAUGGCCAGGUGAAAUAUUAGAUGUAAAAGAGGAUAUCAUCAAGGCAUGGAUAUGUUGCCACAAGCAGAGUAUAAGACUAAUUUAUGCAGGGACAGCAGAGCUGCCGCUGGUUCUACCAUCAAGACUUUGUGAACUUACUCUUUCUUCAUGCAAUAUUACAGAUGGAGCAUUAGCUGUUUGCCUUGAUGGUCUCACUUUACUGAAAAGACUGAGCUUAUCAAAGGUUAUGACUUUAACUACACUUUCGUCACAAGAGGUCCUCCAAUAUUCGACAAAGCUUUGUAACCUGAAAAUCAAAGAAUGCUGGUGUCUCCGAUCAUUACGGGGCAUACGAGCAGCUACCUCUCUUGAGCACCUUAGGCUGGCUUCCUGUCCUUCUUUGGAGUUGUCAAGUGGAGCAGAAAUUAUGCCAUUAUCCCUUCAGUGUCUAGAAAUACGGGAAUGCAUGCUUGCAGCUGACUUCUUCUGUGGUGACUGGCCACACUUGACAUAUAUUUUCAUAUGGGGUUGUAGAAGCACUCCGACCUUGUCCUUUGGUAGUCUAACCUCCCUUGAAGAUUUAUCACUUUAUUAUCUGCCAGAUUUGUGCACGCUUGAAGGAUUGGCUUCCCUGCAACUUCAUAGUCUAGUUUUAACAAAUGUUCCCAGUCUCACCACCGAGUGCAUCUCACAGUUUCGAGUCCAGAAAUCACUCCAAGUCAGCAGUUCUGUGAUGCUCAACCACAUGCUCUCGGCUGAAGGUUUUACAGUCCCCCCACGUCUCAAUAUCAUCGGCUGCAAGGAACCAUCCAUUUCAUUUGAAGAAUCUGCAAACUUCACAUCCGUCGUGUGGCUGCAAUUCUAUAUGUGUGAAAUGAGGUCCCUACCAACAAAUCUGAAGUGCUUCUCCAGUCUCACGGAUCUCCAAAUUCUACACUGUUACAACAUAUCAUCUCUACCAGAUCUGCCACCCUCCCUCCGGCGCAUACGUAUAGUGAAUUGUGGUCUCCUGGAGAAGAGCUGUCGCGCACCUGAUGGAGAAAGCUGGCCAAAAAUUGCGCAUAUCCGUUGGAAGGAUAUCGAUUCAGGCGUGGUUCGCAACUACAAGUGA